rnacentral:lncRNA from 1 species
GACAACCGCGCCGCUUUCAAACAUAGCCUUCCCACAGGCCUAGGCUUCGCCUCUCUACCAGCACCCAAACCAGGCCUAGACCCCUUCGAAACCCAUCCAAGCCACGUCUGGGCUCCGCCUGCGUAAGGCGUAGGCUCCACCCCUUUCAGCUCGGUCCAAUCCCAGCUUCCAGCCGUUCCAGCAGCAGGCAGCAUCCCUUCCAGCCCCGCUUCCACCAGCGUUAGAGCCCCUCAAGCCCAGGCCACAGCCCCAUCUCAGCCCCUCCCCGCUCGUCCUUGACCCCUGAGGCUACAGAUGGGGAACCCUUCGGGAGCCUGAGGUGUAGUUUAGGGGAGAGAAGACGCCCCUCAGCAGCUUCUCUGGAACGUUGUUGCGGGGCACUGGGCCAGACAGCACACGUUUCGUGAGCUGGCACCCUAGAGGUGCAGGCCCUUCGGUGCCCAGAAACCCCUCUCAGCCCCAGCUCUUCGAGGCAUUCUCAGCCACAAGCUGUCCAAGAACUACUCCUACGUGCUGCAGUGGACUCAGAGGGAGCCCGACGCUGUCGACCCUGUGCUCAACUACAGACUCAGCAUCCGCCAGUUGAACCAGCACAAUGCGGUGGUCAAGGCCAUCCCGGUCCGGCGUGUGGAGAAGGGGCAGCUGCUGGAGUACA